rnacentral:lncRNA from 1 species
GUGCUCAUAAAUAUAAAAUUGGACUGGACUCUGCAGUUUAGACUGAAGAAUAAAUGUGAAGAGAUCACACAAAUUGAUCUCUGCUUCCAGAAUGCAUAGUAUGAGGACUACCAAUUGCCAGGAAAAAGCCAGAUGAAUUGAAGGACAGAACGUGCUUUUCUGAACACACAAAACUUCCCUGAAAUAUCUGCCUAAUUCCUCUGAAACUAGAUGCUGUGAGUUGACACUGCAAGAAAAUGCUGGUUCUGAAAUCUUCUGCAUACCUCUUUGAUCUCUGUUGAUGCAGGAUAGAUAUCAGUGAUUGGAGGCUUUUAUUUUUAAAAGGUAACAAAGGUGAUUACUAAGACUAACUAGUCGUUUCACAAAUGACUACAGGCACCACCUGUACUUCUUUUCUCUC